UACGAAGGGGGCUAGCGUUGCUCGGAAUCACUGGGCGUAAAGGGUGCGUAGGCGGGUCUUUAAGUCAGGGGUGAAAUCCCAGGGCUCAACCCUGGAACUGCCUUUGAUACUGUCGAUCUGGAGUAUGGAAGAGGUGAGUGGAAUUCCGAGUGUAGAGGUGAAAUUCGUAGAUAUUCGGAGGAACACCAGUGGCGAAGGCGGCUCACUGGCCAUUACUGACGCUGAGGUGCGAAAGCGAUGG
rnacentral:rRNA from 1 species